rnacentral:lncRNA from 1 species
GGUGAGGCUGGGGGGUGGUCGGCUGCUCUGGUAGGGGGAUGUGUGGGCGAUAUGGGGUGGGGAGGUGGGGAUGGAGGAGGGGAGGUUGCAGUGUUCUGCCAUGACUCUAGGUUGGUUUUAUGGUUGCUCCUCCUCCUCUGAUACUCCCUUGUUGUGUGCCCUUUCACUGAGCAUCUCCAACACCUAGUGCUAUUUCUGCAGUCUACCACUCUGUGACAUGUAGCAAAGCAAUUGAGGCAUUUUCCUCUGACCAAUUCCCUGUAUCUCUUCUUCCUCUGUUCUGCUUCAUCCGGUUGGUGGAAUGGAUGUUCCUGUCUUG